AAGUAAACCGACCCUAACCACCCUAGACCGAACCGGACGACCCUAACCCUACCCCCAACCCCCGCGACUCUAUCUCUCUCACUCUCCCCUCCUCUCACAAACUCACAAACUCUCUCAAACUCACCCACACCAAAAAUCCCAAAACCUUCUCAAUUCUCACCCAAAUCAACUAGUUCUUGUUUCUAAACCAAGCUUUCGCCCCUGUAGCCUAUUCCUCACCACCCAUUCACCAUUUCCUUUCAUCCAGAGCAAGGUAUU
rnacentral:lncRNA from 1 species